UUGUUAGAAUACUUCAACAUGGAGGAAAUUAAGUGGUUUUAGAUGUGUCAUCCAUUAUUUAGUGUGUAAAUCGCUGAUAACCAGACAUUUUGAAGAGUUUUUCCUUUAUCCCAUUGGAAAGUUAUGCUUUCGUGGAAGUGAUUUACAUGUAAUUAAAAUACCCUCCAGGGGGAGGGCAGAUGGGAGAAAGAUCUUGUGACAAGGGAGAGAGCAUUUUCUCAUAGAUGAUGAAGAAUGACUUGGAUGUUGCCAUUCCCCAUGAAUGAUAUUACAGGUUACCUCUGGUGUUUGAUCAAGGUUCCCUAACAUAUUAUGUUUCUAGACCUAAAUCCUGUCCUGCAUGGAGCAAAGAACUGUAAAAGCCGAGUGCCAUGCCCACGGGCACAAACCUAUUUCACAGCCAGGGCUUGAGUUGCAACCUUGGAAUAUGGGUCGUGCUCUUGGGUCCCACAAAAUCAAAGACGUAGGUGUGAAAUCACGUACACCGCAAUGGACAAUUAUCUAGAGAAGAUUCAGUGUUAGCAAGCAUAUGUUCUCAAAAGUAAACGAAAUACAGAUAAGGAAGUCACUCCCGCAAUAAAAGAUGGCAAUUGCCCUUCUCCAUCACGGAACACCAAGAAGAGGAUUUACUGUAGGCAAAAUCCCAGCAAGACCCUCAAAGAGAGUGAGAAGAUGGAAAUAUGCAACGAUGUUUGAGUUAUGGUACUUAUUUGUUGAAGAAUUCACUCGACCACUCGACUCAAUCAAACUGUAUUUUGACUAAAGGCGUUCAUCUCAUUGCUGAAACUCGAUCUUCAAACAUCCUAAACUUUCAAGGCCUGGGGAACGUUCAAUCAGGUCAUCACCAAUUGCCCCAAUUUCGUUUAAAAUUCAAUAAAGGAUUUCGAGGGAAGAAUUAAAAAUAAACAAAAUUAC